GAUGAAAUCCUAGUCCAAGAGAUUCUGGAACCCAAUAAAUCGACGUCUAAAAUGCCAACGGCAGGAACAACGCUAUCAACAAGAAUAUUCAAGGAAAAAAAAGCCAGCCUCGAGGAGGAGGACGCCCCGUCGGCUGCUUCCGAGGGUCACCGUGUGCUCUCGGCGGUUCUCCCCGUCUCUCUCGGCCCUGAGGACAAGAUGGUCAACAACGAACCCAGUACUGACGACACCUACCAAGUCGGCGAGCCCGAGGGCUCCCCGGAGCCGCAGUACCCCCCCGGCGUGGGAGACGUACUUCAGAAUAACGGAAAGAAGAAAUCGAAAAAUGAUCAGCACGAGAAACAAUCAGUUCUGGACAGGAUCCUGCAAAAUACUGAAAAAUCUCCAGGAAACUCCGUCCAGUAAAUGGAGGAGAGCGAGGCCCAGAGGAGGCGUGGAGAGCAGCCCGUGAGGCCGCUGGCUCCGAGGAGCCGCCACACAGGACGCACGGACUGCGUGACAACAGCCCCGUCCUCAGUAAUAAAGAGCCUAUGU
rnacentral:lncRNA from 1 species